GGUUAAGCGACUAAGCGUACACGGUGGAUGCCCUGGCAGUCAGAGGCGAUGAAGGACGUGCUAAUCUGCGAAAAGCGUCGGUAAGGUGAUAUGAACCGUUAUAACCGGCGAUGUCCGAAUGGGGAAACCCAGUGCAAUUCGUUGCACUAUCGUUAACUGAAUACAUAGGUUAACGAGGCGAACCGGGGGAACUGAAACAUCUAAGUACCCCGAGGAAAAGAAAUCAACCGAGAUUCCCCCAGUAGCGGCGAGCGAACGGGGAGCAGCCCAGAGUCUGAAUCAGCUUGUGUGUUAGUGGAACGGUCUGGAAAGUCCGACGGUACAGGGUGAUAGUCCCGUACACCAAAAUGCACAGGUUGUGAACUCGAAGAGUAGGGCGGGACACGUGGUAUCCUGUCUGAAUAUGGGGGGACCAUCCUCCAAGGCUAAAUACUCCUGACUGACCGAUAGUGAACCAGUACCGUGAGGGAAAGGCGAAAAGAACCCCGGCGAGGGGAGUGAAAAAGAACCUGAAACCGUGUACGUACAAGCAGUGGGAGCACCUUCGGGUGUGACUGCGUACCUUUUGUAUAAUGGGUCAGCGACUUAUAUUCUGUAGCAAGGUUAACCGUAUAGGGGAGCCGCAGGGAAACCGAGUCUUAACUGGGCGUUAAGUUGCAGGGUAUAGACCCGAAACCCGGUGAUCUAGCCAUGGGCAGGUUGAAGGUUGGGUAACACUAACUGGAGGACCGAACCGACUAAUGUUGAAAAAUUAGCGGAUGACUUGUGGCUGGGGGUGAAAGGCCAAUCAAACCGGGAGAUAGCUGGUUCUCCCCGAAAGCUAUUUAGGUAGCGCCUCGUGAACUCAUCUUCGGGGGUAGAGCACUGUUUCGGCUAGGGGGUCAUCCCGACUUACCAACCCGAUGCAAACUACGAAUACCGAAGAAUGUUAUCACGGGAGACACACGGCGGGUGCUAACGUCCGUCGUGAAGAGGGAAACAACCCAGACCGCCAGCUAAGGUCCCAAAGUCAUGGUUAAGUGGGAAACGAUGUGGGAAGGCACAGACAGCCAGGAUGUUGGCUUAGAAGCAGCCAUCAUUUAAAGAAAGCGUAAUAGCUCACUGGUCGAGUCGGCCUGCGCGGAAGAUGUAACGGGGCUAAACCAUGCACCGAAGCUGCGGCAGCGACACUAUGUGUUGUUGGGUAGGGGAGCGUUCUGUAAGCCUGCGAAGGUGUGCUGUGAGGCAUGCUGGAGGUAUCAGAAGUGCGAAUGCUGACAUAAGUAACGAUAAAGCGGGUGAAAAGCCCGCUCGCCGGAAGACCAAGGGUUCCUGUCCAACGUUAAUCGGGGCAGGGUGAGUCGACCCCUAAGGCGAGGCCGAAAGGCGUAGUCGAUGGGAAACAGGUUAAUAUUCCUGUACUUGGUGUUACUGCGAAGGGGGGACGGAGAAGGCUAUGUUAGCCGGGCGACGGUUGUCCCGGUUUAAGCAUGUAGGCUGGUUGUCCAGGCAAAUCCGGAUAAUCAAGGCUGAGGUGUGAUGACGAGGCACUACGGUGCUGAAGUAACAAAUGCCCUGCUUCCAGGAAAAGCCUCUAAGCAUCAGGUAACAUCAAAUCGUACCCCAAACCGACACAGGUGGUCAGGUAGAGAAUACCAAGGCGCUUGAGAGAACUCGGGUGAAGGAACUAGGCAAAAUGGUGCCGUAACUUCGGGAGAAGGCACGCUGGUGUGUAGGUGAAGUCCCUGCGGAUGGAGCUGAGACCAGUCGAAGAUACCAGCUGGCUGCAACUGUUUAUUAAAAACACAGCACUGUGCAAACACGAAAGUGGACGUAUACGGUGUGACGCCUGCCCGGUGCCGGAAGGUUAAUUGAUGGGGUUAUCCGUAAGGAGAAGCUCUUGAUCGAAGCCCCGGUAAACGGCGGCCGUAACUAUAACGGUCCUAAGGUAGCGAAAUUCCUUGUCGGGUAAGUUCCGACCUGCACGAAUGGCGUAAUGAUGGCCAGGCUGUCUCCACCCGAGACUCAGUGAAAUUGAACUCGCUGUGAAGAUGCAGUGUCCCCGCGGCAAGACGGAAAGACCCCGUGAACCUUUACUAUAGCUUGACACUGAACAUUGAGCCUUGAUGUGUAGGAUAGGUGGGAGGCUUUGAAGCGUGGACGCCAGUCUGCGUGGAGCCAACCUUGAAAUACCACCCUUUAAUGUUUGAUGUUCUAACGUUGGCCCCUGACCGGGGUUGCGGACAGUGUCUGGUGGGUAGUUUGACUGGGGCGGUCUCCUCCCAAAGCGUAACGGAGGAGCACGAAGGUUAGCUAAUCCUGGUCGGACAUCAGGAGGUUAGUGCAAUGGCAUAAGCUAGCUUGACUGCGAGCGUGACGGCGCGAGCAGGUGCGAAAGCAGGUCAUAGUGAUCCGGUGGUUCUGAAUGGAAGGGCCAUCGCUCAACGGAUAAAAGGUACUCCGGGGAUAACAGGCUGAUACCGCCCAAGAGUUCAUAUCGACGGCGGUGUUUGGCACCUCGAUGUCGGCUCAUCACAUCCUGGGGCUGAAGUAGGUCCCAAGGGUAUGGCUGUUCGCCAUUUAAAGUGGUACGCGAGCUGGGUUUAGAACGUCGUGAGACAGUUCGGUCCCUAUCUGCCGUGGGCGCUGGAGAAUUGAGGGGGGCUGCUCCUAGUACGAGAGGACCGGAGUGGACGCAUCACUGGUGUUCGGGUUGUCAUGCCAAUGGCACUGCCCGGUAGCUAAAUGCGGAAGAGAUAAGUGCUGAAAGCAUCUAAGCACGAAACUUGCCCCGAGAUGAGUUCUCCCUGAGACUUUAAGUCUCCUGAAGGAACGUUGAAGACGACGACGUUGAUAGGCCGGGUGUGUAAGCGCAGCGAUGCGUUGAGCUAACCGGUACUAAUGAACCGUGAGGCUUAACCUU
rnacentral:rRNA from 1 species